GCGGCGUGACGCGACGUUUUUUUACAGCGGCAGACGAUUUUACGUAUCUCCGUCCGUCACAGUCCAAAGCAUCUGCAGUUAUUGCUAUCCAGGCUCUCUCUUUGUGACCACGUCGGCGUGAGUCGCUUCACUUGCGUUUCCUAUGCCUCCCGCUCCCUCUGCCCACACGACGCAAGCAAAGCAAAGCAAAAGCACCAGCUCAGGGCCUCAGCCUCAGCUCCCUAUUUAUGCAGCACUCCCUGCUGCCCCAACUCAUCUCAUCACCAGCAGCCCCAAAGAACCUCUUAACCGAACAGCUGCUCGAGGGGGACGAAGAUGGAGGCGAGCUGCUCGAGCUUCGGCCGUUUUGAGAUGGAGAGGACCAACUCUGCGACAGCCGACCCUUGCGGGCAGGAGGAGUUCGAGCUCAGCCAAAAAGAGUUCAGCACUCUCCGCGAGAGUUGCAGACGAGAAUCUCACAGAUUCUUCCUCCCGGGAGCAUCCGCCGCGCUGAUUCGUCCAUAGACAUGGCAUGGUGUUAUCCUGAUUGAGCUUUUCUUUCGUCCACCAACAUUCUCUUCGUUUUUCUUCAUUUUCUCCACGCCACAUUGUCUGGGGUAUUACAAGAUUCGGUCUUCUUGACCUUGCAAGACCUUUUCUUGACCUUGUAAGACCCAAACAUGUUGCAUCUCUUCACACGUUCCUUCUAUCCUUGUUCCAGCUUCUCCAUCUUGGCCUCCUCACUCGCGUUCUUUGCCCUCACAUCCUUCCUCCGUCUAUCCCUCCUGAGCUAUUUUGUUUCAAUGUUAUGUUUGUAUUAGUUAUUAGUAUUCAAAAGCAAGAUGAUAUAUGAAGUGACAAAUGAAAAAGAUUCCAGCUAUCAUGUUUGAUUCUAUCCUUUACCCGGAGUAUUUUGUUUUGUCUGCAGAGUACAGACGAGACACACGAGUUCUCUGUUGCCAUAAUGCUCACGCAUGUGGAAGCAAAAGCCUGCUUGUAACCGAGCAUGUGUAUGUAUUGCCAUCGUUGUAAUAAGUCAAUUUUCCUAGUACUUCAAUAUAAACAUCUUUGAUGCCACACGGCACACCGUUGAAAGGAACUGCUCAAUUUACUGCGGUAUUUCCGUAUUGUCA